rnacentral:rRNA from 1 species
UACGUAGGUCCCGAGCGUUGUCCGGAUUUAUUGGGCGUAAAGCGAGCGCAGGUGGUUUAUUAAGUCUGGUGUAAAAGGCAGUGGCUCAACCAUUGUAUGCAUUGGAAACUGGUAGACUUGAGUGCAGGAGAGGAGAGUGGAAUUCUGUGUGUAGCGGUGAAAUGCGUAGAUAUAUGGAGGAACACCGGUGGCGAAAGCGGCUCUCUGGCCUGUAACUGACACUGAGGCUCGAAAGCGUGGGGAGCAAACAGG